rnacentral:rRNA from 1 species
ACGGGAGGCAGCAGUCGGGAAUAUUGCGCAAUGGAGGAAACUCUGACGCAGUGACGCCGCGUAUAGGAAGAAGGUUUUCGGAUUGUAAACUAUUGUCGUUAGGGAAGAUACAAGACAGUGCCUAAGGAGGAAGCCCCGGCUAACUAUGUGCCAGCAGCCGCGGUAAUACAUAGGGGGCAAGAGUUAUCCGGAUUUAUGGGGUGUAAAGGGUGCGUAGACGGAGAUACAAGUUGGUUGUGAAAUCCCUCGGCUCAACUGAGGAACUGCAACCAAAACUAUAUCCCUUGAGUAUCGGAGGGGAAAGUGUAAUUCCUAGUGUAGCGGUGAAAUGCGUAGAGAUUAGGAUGAACACCAGUAGCGAAGGCGACUUUCUGGACGAUAACUGACGUUGAGGCACGAAAGCGUGGGGAGCAAACAGGAUUAGAUACCCUGGUA